UCCAAGGUGAAUGCAUACUGAGUUUCAUUAUGUGCUGAUUAUUGGGUAAUGGUAAGGUCAAAGUGUUAUCUGUGGAUUAGAAAAGAAUUUGUGAAACCUCAAAAGUAGAUACCAUGUAUAAACCUCCUGGUAAGUUUCUGUGUACCUCCUAGUGCCAGGUACAAGCCUCAUCUGCAUGAUGCCAGCUUCAAGAACGUUCAUGCUGUCUUGGCACCUCAGGGAGAAAGGAUGUGUGCUUCAAGGCUGGAUUUCAACCGAGGACACAGCAUCUCAUCUGCAUACAGAGGGGCUUUGCUGUAUUACAUCUCUGUACGCAUAUUAUGGUGCAUUCUGGUUUGAGAUUAGGCUUGUGCCCCGGGCUCCAGCAGGGCUGGUGUAUCUCAGAGGUAAACACUUUUUAUCACGAAAUGCAGGUAAUUGGUUGGCUUCAACACUGAACAGACAACUGUGUAUUUAAAUGGGACCUUAUACCCAGUCAGUUCAUAACCUGCAUUUUGAAUAUGGUAUUUAGGUAAAUGUUUGACUGAGCUUGAGGAAUUGUUAAAACCGACACCACAAGGAUAUGCUAAUGCAAUUAGAUGACUUGCAGUGUUGAGGUCUGGCCUUGUUUCGGCUCAGUUGCAGUUCAACCAGAUGCAAAAAUAUGUAGACAGUAACUUGUAUGCUACUGAAACAAGCCUAGUCAGACAAAGGUGAGACCCACAUGUCAAAGGUGGUGGUAGAGACAGCUGCCAGAAGAUUUGCCAGUGAGCUGUAUUUCCAGCUGAGAGGGGAUCUUGGAGGAGGCUUCAGAGCAGUAAGUACAGCUGGGACAUGUCCAUGAGAACUUGGCAUCCACUGUUAGGCUGCUGGGGUGGGUUUUUUUUUUAUUACUAGAAGGUUGUUCACUGUGUGUUGAAGUUAUAUUGCUACAGGAGGAGAGGCUCCAAAUGCCCAAUCUGUGCCAUGUUUAUGCAGCCAGAGAGAAUCAGUGUUGCUUUGUCCUUCUCCUACUUGAAGGUGCUAUGUAGAUGUCGAGUCCCGUUCAGUAAAUGAUUCGAGGAUUUGGAAAGCAGAAGAAUGGGUAGAGACGGUGUCCUGCCAGUAAUUGCUGGAAGCGGAGUAGAAGGGAGCUGUAGGAUAUUGGCAUAUGGAGAAGUGCAGAGAUAUUCCUACUCUGGCUGAUGAUUUUUAAUAAAGUUAUUUUUGUGGUAAUU